ACGGGUGCGUAACGCGUGGGAAUCUGCCCUUGGGUUCGGAAUAACAGCGAGAAAUUGCUGCUAAUACCGGAUGAUGACGUAAGUCCAAAGAUUUAUCGCCCAAGGAUGAGCCCGCGUAGGAUUAGCUAGUUGGUGAGGUAAAGGCUCACCAAGGCGACGAUCCUUAGCUGGUCUGAGAGGAUGAUCAGCCACACUGGGACUGAGACACGGCCCAGACUCCUACGGGAGGCAGCAGUGGGGAAUAUUGGACAAUGGGCGCAAGCCUGAUCCAGCAAUGCCGCGUGAGUGAUGAAGGCCUUAGGGUUGUAAAGCUCUUUUACCCGGGAUGAUAAUGACAGUACCGGGAGAAUAAGCUCCGGCUAACUCCGUGCCAGCAGCCGCGGUAAUACGGAGGGAGCUAGCGUUAUUCGGAAUUACUGGGCGUAAAGCGCACGUAGGCGGCUUUGUAAGUUAGAGGUGAAAGCCUGGAGCUCAACUCCAGAAUUGCCUUUAAGACUGCAUCGCUUGAAUCCAGGAGAGGUGAGUGGAAUUCCGAGUGUAGAGGUGAAAUUCGUAGA
rnacentral:rRNA from 1 species